rnacentral:rRNA from 1 species
UAGGGAAUCUUCCGCAAUGGACGAAAGUCUGACGGAGCAACGCCGCGUGAGUGAAGAAGGAUUUCGGUUCGUAAAACUCUGUUGUUAGGGAAGAAAAAAUGUAUAGUAACUAUAUACAAAAGAGAUGGUACCUAACCAGAAAGCCACGGCUAACUACGUGCCAGCAGCCGCGGUAAUACGUAGGUGGCAAGCGUUGUCCGGAAUUAUUGGGCGUAAAGCGCGCGCAGGUGGUUUAGAAAGUCUGAUGUGAAAGCCCACGGCUCAACCGUGGAGGGUCAUUGGAAACUAAUAAACUUGAGUGCAGGAGAGAAAAGUGGAAUUCCUAGUGUAGCGGUGAAAUGCGUAGAGAUUAGGAGGAACACCGGUGGCGAAAGCGGCUUUUUGGCCUGCAACCGACACUGAGGCGCGAAAGCGUGGGGAGCAAACAGG